rnacentral:misc_RNA from 1 species
GGGCGGUACUUGUUUUGGCGAAACUUCGCCGUUGAGCGUUGACAGCUGACGCCUGGCGCCUGGCAGCAGCAGCAGCAGCAGCAGCAGGGUCAAGGUGCUAGAUACCGUCUAGCGACCCGCACGGUCUGCGUUAACUGUCACGGUGAUGUUUUCUUGACAGCAAGGAAUGAAAAUCUUCAUGAAAGGAAAGGAACUGCAGUGUUCAGGUUUUUUUAGACAUUUUCUACCUUAAUGUGAAUGAUGAAAUGAUAUUAAUUCCAUUAUAGUUUAUGGACUUUUGAUGUUGGAAAAUUUAACUCAGUGAAAACAAGAUGCAGCUCUUAAGGAUUCAUUAUCAAAAAUUGUUUGUAUGUGUGUCAUUUGUGAUGUUAGUGUUGGUGUUUGUGAGGGUGUGGGAUGCCAGUGAUGGGUCUCGAGGGCCAAGGCAGACCUUGCCUGCCUCUCUAAAAAGCCCAGAAAAGAGUGCUGUCAGUGCAAGAGAAAACAGCAUCAACAUUGACUCCCCAGUGCUACCCCCCAUCAGGCAUAGAAGCCAUGACAGUAUUAAAACAAAUGUUUUUGCUGACUUAUUCCAAGAUAUAACUAAGGAAGAGACAUGUCCAUUAUGUUUUGGACAUGACCUGUGUGAAGACGUGUCUGCUGGUUUCCUGUCAUUGGCCACAGACACCCCUCAGACAUUGCACGGAGCAGCCAUAUAUAACGCCCAUUUAGGGGACAUGCAGAAACUCUCUGUGAAGAUUCCUACAGGCAAUGGAUUCUCUCUCCUUGAUGAUUCUGUGUGUGUCAAUGCCAGCUUAGGUACAGGCUGUAGCGUUGGCUCUGCUGCCCUUAAGUCCUUUUUAGCAAGAUCUCAGUCUUUGUCACCUCAACUUCUGCAUCAUCUGUUGCGCAUUGUUGGCACUCCACGCAAUCAAUAUCCGUUAUUAAUGUGUCCAAGCAAAAAAUUGUUGAGCAUCAUAGAGCAAUCAUUUGAUGAAAAUGAUGAUCGUAGCUUCAAUCAAGAUGAAAGAAUAAUGCUGUACACAACACUGGCCAUUGCUCCAGAAAUUGCAAUUUACAAGAUACUUACCAAAGCAAACCUUAAUGUGGGAUUCCCUCGGCUGGUGGGCGUGUGUGGACGAGCCCAGGUGCUGGAGGGUGAAUUAACACCAAUGGCUGCAAUGUUAGAUGAAUCCUUCAAUGUUCGAGCUUCACUUGCAGCCCAAAUUCUCACCAUGGUGGAUGACUUCAUGGAAGAUGAUCCAGAAUGGUAUUUGUUCUAUGGUUCGUGGUCUCUGGAUAAGAUGGCCAUCAACAAGGAGGGAGAAGUGGUGCUGACUGAUCUUAGUGACAUGGCUGUGGUUGACAAGAAUCUUUUUCGAGAUGAAUAUGAGGAUGGAACAGAGAGUCGCACACAAGAAGUCUGCAACAAAGAUUGUUUCCAGAAGUUCACUGGAGAGGUAUACAGGGAAGGUCAUGAUACAGAUGAGAUAUGUUCCCGUGUAGAAGAUGUAGGUCACUUGAUGUAUGCUGCUGUGUGUGCUAUGAUCCUUAGUGAUAUGAAACAACACAAAUAUGUGGAUUACUUCACUAGCACCUCCAGCCUCCAGCAGCAACCUCGUACCACCAAAGGAUUGCUCCACAACAUCCCAGCAUCUGAUAGAGCCACUGUGGAGGAACUAGUGGCUGAAUGUGUGGAUGAGACAGCACCAGGAGGGAGGCUACAGGCUGCCCAGGAACUUCGAGACUUCCUAUCAGACUUCUUGUUGGAUGAAGAAGAUGAUGACAAGGAUGAAGAAGGAGAGGAAGAGUUGGAUGGCAAGAAUGAGGAUGGAGAUGAUUAUGAUGAUGACUAUGACUAUGGAGAGGAAGAAGGCUAAGAGGCAAAAUGUGCAUGCAGCCUCUGAAGUAUGGAUGAGUACAAGAUGUUGCUUUUUCUAUAAUGUACUUCUUUAUAGCUCCAUAUGAUGUUAUAGUAAUAUGAUCUGCUAAUUUGAAAAGUAUAAGCAAGAAGGAAUCUCACUGUUGCGCUGGUAGCCAGGCUAUCGCACAUAAUCUGUGAUAAGGUAGUAGAAGCAAUGCUUAAGUCUACUUCAGUUGAUUUGCUCUCCAAUUAGGAAUUUUAUUCAUUAUCUUCCUUAUUGGAGAUCAUUUUAUUGUACUGUUUUAGCUCUUCAGGAAGUUUACUUUACAUGUGUUAUUUUUUCACUUUUUAUAAUGCAAACUUUUCUUUUCAAAUAUAAGGUUUAUCCAAGGAAGAAGCAGAAAAUCAAAUGAAGUCAUAUAAGAAAUGCAUUUAAAAAAUCUAAUAUUGCUUCUUUCAUAUUUCUGAAAUAAAAAGUUCAUAAAAGAGCAGUUCCAAACACAUCUUUUGACAUUCAAAAGUUGCUUUUAUUUGAUGAUUGGACCAAAACCUUCACCAGAAUAAGUAAACCACUUCUUUAUUGAUAUCAGUGACUCAAUCUGCCUUAAAUAAUGUAUACACUGUCAGUGCAGUGCAGCAGUUUACAUUGUGUGAUGCAGCACUCAAGCAAGUGAUCUUGUUGAAUUUUUUUAUUUAUUUGGUACAUCAAGUAAUUGUUUUAAUAUUAGAGACAGCUGAAUGUACACCAUAUAGAAAACUAUUUUUAUGAUUCAGCUAAUUUGGUACAACUGACAAUGAUAUCUAAAAUGUAGUGUGGAGCCUUUAAAAAUUUGGGUAGGACAAUUAAUCUAGUAAUGAUGUGUCAAACAGUUUUAUGUAAGAUGAUCACAUUUUUUCAUGCAGGUAUAGCAUUUAAUUCAUAGAUGUGAUUAAAUCAACAAAGCUAAAAAGCUAACACAGGAAAGGCUAAAGGAAAGCUAUCUUCUUCAUUAACUGAUACAUCUCAUACAUGAGUAGUAGCAAUCUCUCCAAGAUGCCCUGUAACUUUACUUUUUGCAACCACCAUCUAAAUGAAGUUAGUCUUCUGAAUGAGUGUACAGUUAUAUAUUGACUAUAUUGACACCUCUCUAAUCUUAUAAGAAAUGUAUUUUUAUCAUCAUGAGAUUUGAAAUUUGUGAUAGUAAACAAGCAUAUGCAUUGUCUGCUGGGAUGACAAUCAUGGCAUAAUGAAAUAGGAUUUUAUAUAAUGAAGCUAGAAACAAGAAAAAGAAAAGUCUGUAGCACAUUUUUUUGAGUUUUGCAACAGUAAUGCUUAAAAACAGUGAGAGAUUUUAUAAUAGAAGUAUGUACCUUCACAAAAUGACUAGAGGUAAUGAAUUUAUAGGAUGUUGAUAUUUUUAGAGAGAAAUGUGUAUUUAUAGUUUAUAUUGUAUAGAUGUAUACAUACUAUAUUUUUGCUUAUUAUUUAUAUUGAUGAGAAUUGGUGAAAUAAUGCAAAGAAUACCAUGACAUCAGCUUGUUUUUUUCUUGGUGGGGAAAGGGAAUGAAUUGUCCUUUCAAGAAAGACUGCAACACCAAUAUUAAAUUUGUCAGUCUUCAAACUGUGGCAUAGUGUAAUUGCUGCACCCAAGGAUGAACUCCAUCCCCUGUCUUGUAACAUAUUGAAAUGUCUUCAAAUGUGAGAUUAAAACUUUAUGAUCUUAUUUCAUUGAAAAGGUAUGAUUAAAAGUAACAAUUUA